GUGGUAAUGGAUAGUUGGUUAUCACGUGAGUCUAACACACUUAAGGUCUCCAGUUCGAGCCUGGACAGCUUCU
rnacentral:tRNA from 1 species